UACGAAGGGGGCUAGCGUUGCUCGGAAUCACUGGGCGUAAAGGGCGCGUAGGCGGCCAUUCAAGUCGGAGGUGAAAGCCCAGGGCUCAACCCUGGAAUUGCCUUCGAUACUGUUUGGCUAGAGACCGGAAGAGGUAAGUGGAACUGCGAGUGUAGAGGUGGAAUUCGUAGAUAUUCGCAAGAACACCAGUGGCGAAGGCGGCUUACUGGUCCGGUUCUGACGCUGAGGCGCGAAAGCGUGGGGAGCAAACAGG
rnacentral:rRNA from 1 species